rnacentral:lncRNA from 1 species
UGAAGGAAGUCAGCCAGUUCGCCCUCAAGAAUCUCGUCCUGCUUAUCAGCCACAGCGGGAUAGUUCCAGCUCAAGUAUUAAGUGCUUUAGGUGUGGUGAACAGGGGCAUAGGGCGACUGAUUGCAGGAAGCCUGCUGGUCAGAAGAAUAAAAAUCUUCUGAUUGAGGAGGAUAUGAUAGAGGAGUUUGAGGAAGUUGGGGAACCCGUGUAUGAUGAGGGUGAAGAUGAGGACGUGCUAUAUGGAGAUGGU